rnacentral:rRNA from 1 species
GACGAACGCUGGCGGCGUGCUUAACACAUGCAAGUCGAACGGAAAGGCCCUGCUUGCAGGGUACUCGAGUGGCGAACGGGUGAGUAACACGUGGGUGAUCUGCCCUGCACUUCGGGAUAAGCUUGGGAAACUGGGUCUAAUACCGGAUAGGAACCAUCUUUAGUGUGGUGGUUGGAAAGUUUUUUCGGUGUAGGAUGAGCUCGCGGCCUACCAGCUUGUUGGUGGGGUAAUGGCCUACCAAGGCGGCGACGGGUAGCCGGCCUGAGAGGGUGUACGGCCACAUUGGGACUGAGAUACGGCCCAGACUCCUACGGGAGGCAGCAGUGGGGAAUAUUGCACAAUGGGCGCAAGCCUGAUGCAGCGACGCCGCGUGGGGGAUGAAGGCCUUCGGGUUGUAAACUCCUUUCGCUAGGGACGAAGCUUUGUUGUGACGGUACCUAGAUAAGAAGCACCGGCUAACUACGUG